rnacentral:rRNA from 1 species
GACGAACGCUGGCGGCGUGCUUAACACAUGCAAGUCGAACGGAAAGGCCCUGUUUUUGUGGCUAGCUCGAGUGGCGAACGGGGGAGUGACACGUGAGUAACCUGCCCUUUACUUUGGGAUAACUUCAGGAGACUGGGGCGACUACCGAAUAGGAGCUGCUGCCGCAUGGUGGGUGUUGGAAAGUUUCGGCGGAUGGGGGUGGACUCGCGGCUUAUCAGCUUGUUGGUGGGGUAGUGGGUUACCAAGGCUUUGACGGGUAGCCGGCCUGAGAGGGUGAGCGGCCACAUUGGGACUGAGAGACGGCCCAGACUCCUACGGGAGGCAGCAGUGGGGAAUAUUGCAGAAUGGGCGGACGCCUGAGGCAGCAACGCCGCGUGCGGGAUGACGGCCUUCGGGGUUUAAACCGCUUUCGCCGGUGACGAAGCGUGAGUGACGGUAAUGGGUAAAGAAGCAACGGCUAACUACGUG